CUCGCGCCCGGGUUGGGAGGCUGGGAUUGGUUGGUGGCUGGCGCCCAAGUGCCUUAAAAGAUAUGGGCUCAUGUGAGCUUAGGGCAUCUUCAGCAGCUUCUCUUCAAUUGGCCGCUUCAUCUCUGCCAUUGGAGCCCCGUGGGCACUGGGACCCGAGCAGUGCCGCAGGGCCAAAGCCACGGACUCCUGCCACCGGCGCCAUGGAAAAGCAGCCCAGCGAUCCGGACAUAGACCUUCUCAGCAGCACCCUGGAGACCUCGUGGCCAGCUGCUAGGCCGGAGGAGGCCCCCGAGGCCUUAAAGCGGCAGAGCCCUAAGAGCCCGGUGGGCAGCCCCCAGCGGAACAGUGGCCAAGGAGGCCCCAUCUCGAAGCCUGUGGGGCUGCCGCCAUGGUCUCUGCCCCAGCCCUCGCCCCCUCCCCCUUUCCUCGACGACCCCCCCUCCUUGGGCACCUCCGGGAUUAGGAGGCCCUUCUCCCGCGUUCAGAUCCCGCUGACUGAAUGCCGACCCCACGACUUCGGGACGGAAGUCACUGCCCUCACCUGCAGCCUCCAGGACCUGGGGCUCGGCCACCAGGCCCAGACCAGAUCUGGCCCGGCGCCCGAUCCCGAACGGAAUCCGGACCUCCAGCAGGAGCAGCCGCAGCCGCAGCCGCGCCGGGCUUCCUCUAGGAGACAGGAUGCCCAGCUGCCCGACAGGCCCCGGCCCCUUGGCUCGGUGGCCAAGUGCCCGUGUAAGAACAAGCCCCGCCGCCACCACCAUCUCCGUCGACACCUUCACCACCGUCGCCAUCUGUUCCUGGCGUCUCAUCUGGGCUUCUCUUCUUUUGAGACCUUCCCACGGGAGAGGAGGCAUGGAGGCCAAGAAUCGCAGCAACCAACGGUUCUAAUUAUCCUGAAGAAACAUUGACCUGUGAGACCCACCUCUGGUCCGGGGACUGGUGGUGCUGGCCCCUCCCCCUUCCCCCUUCACUAGGUGCCAUAGUGGUUAGAGUUGGGGUCUGGAGGGACCUAGAUUCUUGGCUUAGCCAGGCCUGAGCCCUGUGAGCUCUCCGUCCCGCGCCCCGCCCCGCCCCCAGGCCUCUGCUUUGUUUUGGGAUGGAACUGCUGUCCCUCCCACUCUUAAACUCCCCCCCCCUCCAUCUCCCACCCCCAUUUUUUAAAGUUUUUUCUUAGGAUGAGGUUGAGGCACCACCCUCUCCUCCUGGGAGCCUGGAAAACUUCCUCUAGUCUCCUUUCUUCUGUUACAUGCAAAAGAAAAUGAAUCUUUGUACAUAGUUUUUGUAAUGGCAUCUUAAUAAAUUGGAAAUGAUUACAGUGGGCGAGUCGGAG
rnacentral:lncRNA from 1 species